rnacentral:sRNA from 1 species
GCCAGGAGUAGUGGUGCACACCUGUAAUCCCAGCAGCUCAGGAGGCUGAGACAGGAGUAUCAUAAGUUCAAAGCCAGCCUCAGCAAUUUAGCAAGGCCCUAAGCAACUCAGCAAAACCCUGUCUCUA